rnacentral:rRNA from 1 species
UGCUUACACAUGCAAGUCGAACGAUGAACCACUUCGGUGGGGAUUAGUGGCGAACGGGUGAGUAACACGUGGGCAAUCUGCCCUUCACUCUGGGACAAGCCCUGGAAACGGGGUCUAAUACCGGAUACGACACUCUCGGGCAUCCGAUGAGUGUGGAAAGCUCCGGCGGUGAAGGAUGAGCCCGCGGCCUAUCAGCUUGUUGGUGAGGUAACGGCUCACCAAGGCGACGACGGGUAGCCGGCCUGAGAGGGCGACCGGCCACACUGGGACUGAGACACGGCCCAGACUCCUACGGGAGGCAGCAGUGGGGAAUAUUGCACAAUGGGCGAAAGCCUGAUGCAGCGACGCCGCGUGAGGGAUGACGGCCUUCGGGUUGUAAACCUCUUUCAGCAGGGAAGAAGCGAAAGUGACGGUACCUGCAGAAGAAGCGCCGGCUAACUACGUGCCAGCAGCCGCGGUAAUACGUAGGGCGCGAGCGUUGUCCGGAAUUAUUGGGCGUAAAGAGCUCGUAGGCGGUCUGUCGCGUCGGAUGUGAAAGCCCGGGGCUUAACCCCGGGUCUGCAUUCGAUACGGGCAGACUAGAGUGUGGUAGGGGAGAUCGGAAUUCCUGGUGUAGCGGUGAAAUGCGCAGAUAUCAGGGAGGAACACCGGUGGCGAAGGCGGAUCUCUGGGCCAUUACUGACGCUGAGGAGCGAAAGCGUGGGGAGCGAACAGGAUUAGAUACCCUGGUAGUCCACGCCGUAAACGGUGGGAACUAGGUGUUGGCGACAUUCCACGUCGUCGGUGCCGCAGCUAACGCAUUAAGUUCCCCGCCUGGGGAGUACGGCCGCAAGGCUAAAACUCAAAGGAAUUGACGGGGGCCCGCACAAGCAGCGGAGCAUGUGGCUUAAUUUGACGCAACGCGAAGAACCUUACCAAGGCUUGACAUACACCGGAAACGGCCAGAGAUGGUCGCCCCCUUGUGGUCGGUGUACAGGUGGUGCAUGGCUGUUGUCAGCUCGUGUCGUGAGAUGUUGGGUUAAGUCCCGCAACGAGCGCAACCCUUGUUUUGUGUUGCCAGCAUGCCCUUCGGGGUGAUGGGGACUCACAGGAGACUGCCGGGGUCAACUCGGAGGAAGGUGGGGACGACGUCAAGUCAUCAUGCCCCUUAUGUCUUGGGCUGCACACGUGCUACAAUGGCAGGUACAAUGAGCUGCGAAGCCGUGAGGCGGAGCGAAUCUCAAAAAGCCUGUCUCAGUUCGGAUUGGGGUUUGCAACUCGACCCCAUGAAGUCGGAGUUGCUAGUAAUCGCAGAUCAGCAUUGCUGCGGUGAAUACGUUCCCGGGCCUUGUACACACCGCCCGUCACGUCACGAAAGUCGGUAACACCCGAAGCCGGUGGCCCAACCCCCUGUGGGAGGGAGCUUCGAAGU